UACAGAGGGUGCAAGCGUUAAUCGGAGUUACUGGGCGUAAAGGGUGCGUAGGCGGAUAUUCAAGUCGGAUGUGAAAGCCCCGGGCUUAACCUGGGAAUUGCAUUCGAUACUGGAUAUCUAGAGUAUGGCAGAGGAAAGUGGAAUUUCCGGUGUAGCGGUGAAAUGCGUAGAUAUCGGAAAGAACACCAGUGGCGAAGGCGACUUUCUGGACCAAUACUGACGCUGAGGCACGAAAGCGUGGGGAGCAAACAGGAUUAGAUACCCCAGUA
rnacentral:rRNA from 1 species